GGAUAGCUCAGUUGAUUAGAGUGUGGUGCUGAUAACGCCAUGGUUGCAGGUUCGAUCCCUUCUAUAAUUCU